AGAAGGCAAACCUGCUGAUAGAAUUGUCAAACAGCACACUUAUAUUCUGGAACCAAUUACAGGAAAUGCAAAGUAUAUUCUGGAUGAUGUCAUUCUCUGUUUAUCAAAGGAUGGAUACAAGGAUAUGUUAAAACUAGCUGAUAACUUUUCUGCCUUUAAUCAACGCUUAAAAUAUGUGCAUUUUCAUCCACAUGUUUCCGUGAAAUCUGAUCCUCGUUCUUGGUGGAAGUAUGCUUAUAGAGCUGUAUCUGACAAAGUGAAGAAGGGAAGAUUGAUGUAGGCAUUGGAUCUUCAUCAUUUGCAAGAGGUGUCAUUGACCUUGUCUUGGGAUAUGUCACAAGCGUGGUGAUUGACCUGGCUAUUUCGAUAGAGGUAUAUUGAGAUGAUUUCUUUGGAGCAAUUCUUGACAACAUUUGUAGUUGAUGCCUUUAGAAUGGAAGAAUGUAUUUCACUAAUUUUUGUAUACAUUUCUUGUUUUGUAUUUAGUGAUAAAGGAAUCUGAAUUGGGCAUAAAUUAUGUUGUAAUAUGAUUUCUUAAGCUUAGACUAGUAGACUAAAUAUUGUAAUUACAUUUGAGUAAUUAAUAAAAAUCUAUUUAUGUUA